CACAUGCAAGUCGAACGCUGAAGCCCCAGCUUGCUGGGGUGGAUGAGUGGCGAACGGGUGAGUAACACGUGAGUAACCUGCCCCUGACUUCGGGAUAAGCCCGGGAAACUGGGUCUAAUACCGGAUACGACUGCCGGACGCAUGUCUGGUGGUGGAAAGUUUUUUCGGUUGGGGAUGGGCUCGCGGCCUAUCAGUUUGUUGGUGAGGUAAUGGCUCACCAAGACGACGACGGGUAGCCGGCCUGAGAGGGCGACCGGCCACACUGGGACUGAGACACGGCCCAGACUCCUACGGGAGGCAGCAGUGGGGAAUAUUGCACAAUGGGGGAAACCCUGAUGCAGCGACGCAGCGUGCGGGAUGACGGCCUUCGGGUUGUAAACCGCUUUCAGCAGGGAAGAAGCCUCACGGUGACGGUACCUGCAGAAGAAGUACCGGCUAACUACGUGCCAGCAGCCGCGGUAAUACGUAGGGUACGAGCGUUGUCCGGAAUUAUUGGGCGUAAAGAGCUCGUAGGUGGUUGGUCACGUCUGCUGUGGAAACGCAAUGCUUAACGUUGCGCGUGCAGUGGGUACGGGCUGACUAGAGUGCAGUAGGGGAGUCUGGAAUUCCUGGUGUAGCGGUGAAAUGCGCAGAUAUCAGGAGGAACACCGGUGGCGAAGGCGGGACUCUGGGCUGUAACU
rnacentral:rRNA from 1 species